GCGCGCCGGGAGUUUAGAGCUAGUACAAAUUGUGGCUAGGCUAAAGUCAGAUCACAAAAGUGAUAGAGUAGAAAUAGGUGUGAUACAGGUGGUCAUUAGGUUGUUCUUUUGUAUAGCCAAAUCCACGUGUGUAAAAAUCGCCAGAAAGUUAGUGUGUUAAACUACGGAGGAAAUAGUCCGAUACGUGGGCCUUUUUCUCUUCUUCCACAUCGCUUGGCGGAGCAAGCGGUGAUCAUUUCAUCCACAGAUCAGCAUUGGCCGCUCCUACCUCCCGCGCACGGAUAAACGAAGUUGUGAAUCUCCCACGAUUGUUACGGACAGACAGAUCGACGAAAGGCCCAGUUGUCACGAGCACCGAACGCCCGCCGGCCCACAAAACCGGCCAUUUUGGGAACGCCGUAUUCAUCACCUUCGGCGUCGGUCAUUGUGCACGGCCGCCAUCGUUGGCCAUUGUUCGCUGGCCACUAUCUGCGCCUGUGAAUGCGUGGAUCCGCCAUUGCUCCUUGCCAUCACGCCAUCUCGAUCAUCGGACAUCCUUCUUCGAGUCAAACGCCGGUCAGAGACCCACUGGUGCGAUAGGAAGCGACGCCUAAACGUUACGACAUUCCCGGAGACGCUCCGGUACUGAAGAGUGCCCAGCAUCCUCUCCAAGCGCUGGGGGCAUCGCACAGCCCGAUUCACGGCGGGACAGCCGUCAAAUACCCUGCAGAACCGCAUCGCUCGCUCCAUCGCUACACCGGUGACGUCUGGCCAGCCCGCUAGACCCUGAAGCACCGCCCGGUACUACCACCGGUUCCCCGAAGCACCUCCCGGUACCACCGCCGGCCCCCGAUGUCCAGCUCACCACCGUGCCGUCAACCACCACCGUUCAAAUGCAGCAAACCGCAAGUACCCUACCCCACAAGUGUUGUGACGUCACAUUAAACCAAUUCAUUAAGCCAAUUUUGGCCAUAAUAAACUAGAAUGUUAAGAUGAAAAUUUGA